rnacentral:rRNA from 1 species
GAUGAACGCUAGCGCCAGGCUUAACACAUGCAAGUCGAGGGGUAGAAGUUGCUUGCAACUUUGAGACCGGCGCACGGGUGCGUAACGCGUAUGCAAUCUACCUUAUACAGAGGGAUAGCCCAGAGAAAUUUGGAUUAAUACCUCAUAGUAUAAUUGAAUGGCAUCAUUUAAUUAUUAAAGUUCCAACGGUAUAAGAUGAGCAUGCGUCCUAUUAGCUAGAUGGUAAGGUAACGGCUUACCAUGGCAACGAUAGGUAGGGGUCCUGAGAGGGAGAUCCCCCACACUGGUACUGAGACACGGACCAGACUCCUACGGGAGGCAGCAGUGAGGAAUAUGGGACAAUGGGCGCAAGCCUGAUCCAGCCAUGCCGCGUGCAGGAAGAAGCAUCUAUGGUGUGUAAACUGCUUUUGUACGGGAAGAAACACCCCUUCGUGAAGGGACUUGACGGUACCGUAAGAAUAAGGAUCGGCUAACUCCGUGCCAGCCGCCGCCGUAA